GGUCCCGCCCCCGCCCCGCGCGCUCCGCUCCGGUGAACACCUGGUGCCCCGAGUCUGGGGGUGGCGGGGGGGACGCGGCCUCACCAGGCCUGCUGGCCGCGCCGUGAGGUCAAGGGGUCCCCCCCCCCCGUCCUUUCAGGCCUCGGGGCGGGGGGAAGGCAGGGCGCCCGGCGCCCCCGGCGUGGCCUGAGGCGGCCGGAAGGCGUGCCAGCCCCUGGCUGUUGUCCCCGGUCCCCCUUCAUUUCCUUUUCUUUCUCUGCUUCAUAGAAAGGGCUCGGCUUGGUGACCGGCUGGGCCACAGAUGUCUCCCCCGCUCCCAGGAGCCUCCCAGCUGCCGCCACGCCCCUGAGCCUCCCGGGGGCCCCCCCCCAGACCCAAGUUUACUGCAGCAAGCAUUUAUUAAGCUCCCUUUAUAUGCAAGGCACCUCCAGGGCAAGCAUUUAUUAAGCUCCCUUCCCGUUUGAGGCCUAGAUGAGGAGCUGAGGCCUGACUCCGGGUCUGUUAACGUUUAACCCAUUCACUGGCUGGAAAAGCUCCUCCCGGGGUGACCUUUCACCCCUGAGUCACGGUUCUGCCCGCCAGGCCUGUUCUGCCUCCUGCACAUGCCUGGGUCCAGUAUGGACACCGGGGCACGCGGCCGGGACUCCCUGUGCGCCCUAACAUCCACUCUGCCCCGGAGAGCCUUGUGAAAGUCACCCCACAAGAUGAGACCACACGUGGGGGCGUUAAGGGGAGGGUGAGGUGCAGGUUUCUGCCAGCCAGGGGCACCCAGCCCUGUGCCGCGGACCUGCCCAGAGGAGGCUGCAGGAUACCAUGUGAGGAUCCAGACACGGAAAACAGCAAGGACUCGGGUUAAACUCCAGCAGGGACUUCCCAGGGGUCUGAUUAGAACCAGCUCUGCUGUAGUGGAAACAAGGCCUGGGUGGGCCCAGAAGAUACAAUAGUUUUGGGGUCAGAGUUGGUUAUUUGGGGUGAGGGCACGGGCCCCAGACUGGCCUGUUCCAGAGUCCUUGGUAGCAGUAUCUCGGAGAAACAAUGAAAACGGUGUAGGGAAAGACGGCCCUGGAAGGGGGACCGGGUCACAGGAGCCCAAAUAAACGGAUUUGGGGGGGCUAGUUUAAUGGAGAGUGUGGGGUGGGAGAAGUGAGCAGGAGAGUACAGCCCCUGCCCCAGCCUCCCCGCCACCCCCUCACUCUCGGGGCCCAACUGAGGGCGGGCAGGGUCUUGCCACGCCCCCAUAACCCCUGCCCGUGGCCCCGAGGUGACAUUUGACCUUGUGGCUGCCGAGGACCUGGGGACAAAGACCCUGGUCCCAUCUGCCGCUGGGACGUCCGUGGGAACAGCCAGACACUGCGAGCCGCCUGGGAACCGGCCCCCCACCCCGACGGGCGACCUUGGCUGACCACUGACGACCCGGUGGCUAAGGCUCCUCCCCUGGAGGGGGGGAGCAGUGAAAGGAGGGAGCUGCCCCCCCACCCCGCCCCCCACCAGCAAGGUCCUAACGCAGUCUGGGAUUCCUCCCCAGCACCCCUGGGAACAGGCCUGCGGAUGAGCCCUUCCCGUCUCUGUCCUCCUUUGGGAAGAUGCUCUGGCCAAACUCAGCACCUCCUCAUAAGGCGGCCUGGCCACACGGAACAAAGGACAGGGCGUGUGAUGUCACGACAGGACACUCGGUUUAAUUACGCGUAUGUGAGUGGAUGCGUGUGCGUGCACAUGACUUCAGAGCCUGUAGAGUCCAGAAGGGGGCGACAGAUCCUCCUAGCUGAUGGUCCAGUGCCUGUGGCUGUUGAGGCUGGGAACUGAACCCAGGUCCUCUGCAAGAGCAGCAGACGCUCCUAACCGCUGAGCCGUCUCUCCAGCCUACGACAGGACACUUCAUGACGUGGCCGCCACACCUGCGUGUUACACGCGAGCUGGGUCCGGGUCCUACAGGAAGGUCUGGCCUGGCUGGGGAGCCCCCGGCUGCCCCAGGGCUCGGGCUGUGGCUGCCAGCACUGCCAGUUCCUCUGCCUGCUGGGCCUGCAUCCGAGCUAGCUGCUGCUCCAACUUCCGGCGUUGCUCUUCCUGCUUCCGGUGGGCUCCUCUGAAGGCCAAGACCAGGGAGCUGCGAGCAGCGGGAGGGGAGAUGCCUGGCUGAGACCGGUCCGGUGCGCAGGCCCCGCCGCCCCGCUCAGAAGGGGGGAUCCCGAGGCCCGGGGAGAGCCGGAAGGCCUCUAAGAGGGUUCGAGUCGUACCUGUGAGCCUUGCACAGCUCCCGGUUCAGCUCCGCGCUCUGAGCACGUCUGCUCCGGCCCUUCUGAGCCACCUGCUCCAGCUGCCGCCGCAGGGACUGCAGCUGAGCCCGCAGCUCCGCCGCCCUGCAAGGGCACCGUAGACCAUCCCAGCCGCUCCCAACCCUCGCCCUCCCUCCCAGCACACCCGCAGACUGCCACCCGCCUCGGCAGUAUCUGCUGGAUACAGUGCUCCCCACCACACUUGCGUGCGCACCCACCCACCCCCAGCCAGGCCCGAGACACACACCGGGCAAGGGACGCCGACAGUUCCUGGGAUAAGGUCUCAGCGUCCCACGCUCUGCCCAUCUGGCCACCAGGGAGGGCAGGAGGGCCCUAAGGGAGAUGGACGGGAGAGAAGACAGGUGUGUGCUGUGUUCAGUCAGCCCAGGCUGGACAUCGAGGGCGCCCAGGUCCCAGUGAGAGCUCUGUGGUUUUUGUUUGUUUUUGGUUUUUCAAAACAGGGUUUCUCGGUGUAGCUUUGGAGCCUGUCCUGGACCUCACUUUGUAGCCCAGGCUGGCCUCGAACUCAGAGACCCGCCUGCCUCUGCCUCCUGAGAGCUGGGAUUAAAGGCGUGCGCCACCACCACCCGGCUAUUUAUGAAUGGUGUAUGUGCAUGCCCAACGCGCCACAGUGUGCAUGUGGAGGUCAGAAGACGACUUGUGGGUGUCGGUCCUCUUUCCACUAUGUGGGUCCGAGUGUGAAGAACGGGACGCAUGCCACCCUCUUCAUGAAGUCUGGGGGAGGGGUCCCCCCUUCCUGAGGCCUGACUCAGGCACUGCACUUCAGGCCCUAAGUGACUGGGCUUCCUCACUAGCUACCAAAGCUCCCUCCACCACGGGCUGACCCCACACCCCUCUCUCCCAUCCCCCUCCUCCUUCAGGGAGCUGCGAGUUACAGCUUGCCAGCGCUGGGGUUUUCCUUUCAAAUUCUAAUAAAUUGAGCCUCUGUUA